AGCACUUACGGAUUCUGGGGG
rnacentral:miRNA from 1 species